rnacentral:rRNA from 1 species
GACGAACGCUGGCGGCGUGCUUAACACAUGCAAGUCGAACGAAGUGGCGAACGUUUGAGUAAUGCGUAAUCCACCUGCCCUUCAGUGGGGGACAACAGUUGGAUACUACUGCCCAUACCGCAUACUUACGGAGGCGAUUGCGUCGGAUUAGCCAGUUGGAGGGGUAACGGCCCACCAAGGCGAUGAUCAGUAGCCGGUCUGAGAGGAUGAGCGGCCACAUUGGGAGUGGGGUACGGGCGAGACGCCGACGGGAGACAGCAGUGGGGGCUCUAGCGCAAGGGACGAAAGUCUAGCAGAGCAGCGCGGGGGGAGGGAUGACGGCAUUCGGGUUGUAUAGCUCUGUUAGAUGGGACGCGGUACCGUAAUAGAAAGCCACGGCUAACUACGUGCCAGCAGCCGCGGUAAUUC